UACAGAGACUGCAAGCGUUAUUCGGAUUCACUGGGCGUAAAGGGUGCGCAGGCGGUCGUGUGUGUCAGAUGUGAAAUCCCGGAGCUUAACUCCGGAACUGCGUCUGAAACUACACGACUAGAGCAUUGGAGAGGGAAGUGGAAUUCAUGGUGUAGCAGUGAAAUGCGUAGAUAUCAUGAGGAACACCAGAGGCGAAGGCGACUGCCUGGACAAUUGCUGACGCUCAGGCACGAAAGCAUGGGGAGCAAAAGGG
rnacentral:rRNA from 1 species